CGGGGUGCAGCAGGCGCGAAAACUCCACAAUGCGCGAAAGCGUGAUGGGGUUAACCCGAGUGCCGUCCGAUGAGGAUGGCUUUUCUUCAGUUUAAGGAUCUGGAGGAAUAAAGGGGGGGCAAGACUGGUGUCAGCCGCCGCGGUAAUACCAGCCCCCUGAGUGGUAGGGACGAUUAUUUGGCCUAAAGCGUCCGUAGCCUGUUUGGGAAGUCUUUCGUUAAAUCCGACGAUUCCAUCGUUGGGACGCGGAAGAUACUGCCAGACUUGAGGACGGGAGAGGUCGACGGUAGUCCUAGGGUAGGGGUGAAAUCCUAUAAUCCUAGGAGGACCACCAGUGGCGAAGGCGGUCGACUAGAACGUGCCUGACGGUGAUGGACGAAAGCUGGGGGAGCGAACCGGAUUAGACACCCGGGUAGUCCCAGCUGUAAACGAUGCGAGCUAGGUGUUGGAGCAACUACGAGUUGCUCCAGUGCCGCAGAGAAGUUGUUAAGCUCGCCGCCUGGGAAGUACGGCCGCAAGGCUGAAACUUAAAGGAAUUGGCGGGGGAGCAC
rnacentral:rRNA from 1 species